rnacentral:rRNA from 1 species
AGCGAACGCUGGCGGCAGGCCUAACACAUGCAAGUCGAACGGAUCGUUCGGGAUUAGUGGCGGACGUGUGAGUAACACGUGGUAACUUGCCCUUUGGUUCGGUACAACUCAGUGAGACUUGAGCUAAUACCGGAUGUGCCCUUCGGGGGAAAGAUUUAUGGCCAUUGGAGCGGCCCGCGUCUGAUUAGCUAGUUGGUGAGGUAACGGCGCACCAAGGGGACGAUCAGUAGCUGGUGUGAGAGGAUGAUUAUCCACACUGGGACUGAGACACGGCCCAGACUGCUACGGGAGGCAGCAGUGGGGAAUCUUGCGCAAUGGGCGAAAGCCUGACGCAGCCAUGCCGCGUGAAUGAUGAAGGUCUUAGGAUUGUAAAAUUCUUUCAGCGGGGACGAUAAUGACGGUAACCGGAGAAGAAGCUCCGGCUAACUUCGUG